rnacentral:rRNA from 1 species
UAACCUGCCCAUAAGACUGGGAUAACUCCGGGAAACCGGGGCUAAUACCGGAUAACAUUUUGAACCGCAUGGUUCGAAAUUGAAAGGCGGCUUCGGCUGUCACUUAUGGAUGGACCCGCGUCGCAUUAGCUAGUUGGUGAGGUAACGGCUCACCAAGGUAACGAUGCGUAGCCGACCUGAGAGGGUGAUUGGCCACACUGGGACUGAGACACGGCCCAGACUCCUACGGGAGGCAGCAGUAGGGAAUCUUCCGCAAUGGACGAAAGUCUGACGGAGCAACGCCGCGUGAGUGAUGAAGGCUUUCGGGUCGUAAAACUCUGUUGUUAGGGAAGAACAAGUGCUAGUUGAAUAAGCUGGCACCUUGACGGUACCUAACCAGAAAGCCACGGCUAACUACGUGCCAGCAGCCGCGGUAAUACGUAGGUGGCGAGCGUUAUCCGGAAUUAUUGGGCGUAAAGCGCGCGCAGGUGGUUUCUUAAGUCUGAUGUGAAAGCCCACGGCUCAACCGUGGAGGGUCAUUGGAAACUGGGAGACUUGAGUGCAGAAGAGGAAAGUGGAAUUCCAUGUGUAGCGGUGAAAUGCGUAGA